rnacentral:ncRNA from 2 species
AUUCAUCUUCGGGGUAGGGUGAAAUUCCCAAUCGGCGGUAUUGAAUUUUUUUUCUAAGCCCGCGAGCUCUUUUUUGAGCAGGAUUUGGUGUGAUUCCAAAGCCGACAGUAUAGUCUGGAUGGGAGAAGAUGAAG